rnacentral:rRNA from 1 species
GUGGGGAAUAUUGGACAAUGGGCGCAAGCCUGAUCCAGCCAUGCCGCGUGAGUGAAGAAGGCCUUCGGGUUGUAAAGCUCUUUUGGCGGGGACGAUGAUGACGGUACCCGCAGAAUAAGCCCCGGCUAACUUCGUGCCAGCAGCCGCGGUAAGACGAAGGGGGCUAGCGUUGUUCGGAAUUACUGGGCGUAAAGGGCGCGUAGGCGGUUUGUUAAGUCAGGCGUGAAAGCCCUGGGCUCAACCUGGGAUGUGCGCUUGAUACUGGCAGGCUUGAGUGCAGGAGAGGAUGGUUGAAUUCCCAGUGUAGAGGUGAAAUUCGUAGAUAUUGGGAAGAACACCGGUGGCGAAGGCGGCCAUCUGGACUGCGACUGACGCUGAGGCGCGAAAGCGUGGGGAGCAAACAGGAUUAGAAACCCUAGUAGUCC